UUGUAGAAUUAUGUAGGUUGCAAUCACCUC
rnacentral:piRNA from 1 species